rnacentral:rRNA from 1 species
AUUGAACGCUGGCGGCAAGCCUAACACAUGCAAGUCGAACGAGUGGCGGACGGGUGUGUAAUGUCUGGGAAACUGCCUGAUGGAGGGGGAUAACUACUGGAAACGGUAGCUAAUACCGCAUACUAUCGGAUGUGCCCAGAUGGGAUUAGCUAGUAGGUGGGGUAAAGGCUCACCUAGGCGACGAUCCCUAGCUGGUCUGAGUGGAUGACCAGCCACACUGGGACUGAGACACGGUCCAGACUCCUACGGGAGGCAGCAGUGGGGAAUAUUGCACAAUGGGCGCAAGCCUGAUGCAGCCAGGCCGCGUGUAUGAAGAAGGCCUUCGGGUUGUAAAGUACUUUCAGCGGGGAGGCGUUACCCGCAGAAGAAGCACCGGCUAACUCCGUGCCAGCAGCCGCGGUAAUUC